rnacentral:rRNA from 1 species
AUUGAACGCUGGCGGCAGGCCUAACACAUGCAAGUCGCACGAGUGGCGGAAGGGUGAGUAAUGUCUGGGAAACUGCCUAAUGGAGGGGGGUAACUACUGGAAACGGUAGCUAAUACCGCAUACCAUCCGAUGGGCCAACAUGGGAUUAGCUUGGUGGUGGGGUAACGGCUAACAAAGGCGACGAUCCCUAACUGUUCUGCGAGGAUGACCAGCCACACUGGAAUCGAGACCAGGUCCAGACUCCUACGGGAGGAAGCAGUGGGGAAUACUGCACAAUGGGAGCAAGCCGGAUGCAGCCAUGCCGCGUGUAUGAAGAAGGCCUUCGGGUUGUAAAGUACUUUCAGCGGGGAGGCGUUACCCGCAGAAGAAGCACCGGCUAACCCCGGGCCAGCAGCCGCGGUAAUUC